UAUAUAGAAUUUGAACAUCUCUAUUAAUUAUGAAAUCAAGAUAUAUGGAUUUUGAAAUAACAUGUGUUUACCCAUGAAUUUGAAUCCUUCUAUUUUUCUCUUUCAAAUCCAUUCAAUUUCAUUUAAAACAUAAUUUGGAUUCUCAAAUCCAAAAACAAAUAACUAAACGAAUAACAAAGUUUGGACAAGUUUUCAGGCUUAGGAUGGUAAUGUACAUCAUCAACUGGAGAGACAUCAACUUUGGGAGCUGCCAAUCUCAGAAGAAGUCUAUCUCCUUUACAUGCCGAGGUGGAAGCUCUCCUCUGGGCGAUGAAGUGUAUGAUUGGUGCCGACAACCAAGAUGUAGUUUUUCUUACAGACUGUUCAGAUCUGGUGGAGAUGGUGUCUUCCCCAACCGAAUGGCCGGCUUUCUCAUCGUAUUUGGAGGAGUUACAGAGAGACAAGGAUGAGUUCACAAACUUUUUUCUAUCUUUAAUCUCUCGUAGUACUAAUGUUAAAGUGGAUUUUUUGGCACGAAAAGUUCGUACCCAACCGCUUCAUAUUACAUUUGUAAACAACAUUCCUCAGGAUUGGCUCGUUUGAGUCCUAAUUAAUUUUUGGAUGACAAA
rnacentral:sRNA from 1 species